rnacentral:ncRNA from 1 species
ACUCGGGCACGAUCCGCAGGUUCGCCGCGGAACCGACCCGUAGUUCAAUCCUGAGGGA